GGAAUUCCACGUGUAGCGGUAAAUGCGUAGAGAAUUGGAGGACAACCAGUGUCGUAAGGCGGCUUUUUUGGUCUGUUAACCUGACGCUGAGGUCGCGAAAGCGUGGGGGAGCAAACAGGAUUAGAUACCCUGGUAGUCCACGCCGUAUNACGAUGAGUGCUAAGUGUUAGAGGNUUUCCGCCCUUUAGUGCUGCAGCUAACGCAUUAAGCACUCCGCCUGGGGAGUACGGUCGCAAGACUGUAACUCAAAGGAAUUGACGGGGGCCCGCACAAGCGGUGGAGCAUGUGGUUUAAUUCGAAGCAACGCGAAGAACCUUACCAGGUCUUGACAUCCUCUGACAACUCUAGAGAUAGAGCGUUCCCCUUCGGGGGACAGAGUGACAGGUGGUGCAUGGUUUGUCGUCAGCUCGUGUCGUGAGAUGUUGGGUUAAGUCCCGCAACGAGCGCAACCCUUGAUCUUAGUUGCCAGCAUUUAGUUGGGCACUCUAAGGUGACUGCCGGUGACAAACCGGAGGAAGGUGGGGAUGACGUCAAAUCAUCAUGCCCCUUAUGACCUGGGCUACACACGUGCUACAAUGGAUGGUACAAAGGGCUGCAAGACCGCGAGGUCAAGCCAAUCCCAUUAUAAACCAUUCUCAGUUCGGAUUGUAGGCUGCAACUCGCCUACAUGAAGCUGGAUAUCGCUAAAUCGAGGUAUCG
rnacentral:rRNA from 1 species